UAAACAAACCGAACUUCCAUCAAAAUAACUAAAAAAAAAUUGUUUUUCUCAAGUGGACAAAAAUGAACCGGACAUAAUGAGGACUGCUGUUGCUAAUUAUCAAGAACUCAUUUGGUCUAAAAAUGUGGCACGGAAACCAUUCGCCAAGACAUCAUACCAAGCAUACGAUGUAAGUAGGGAAAAUGGAAUUUCCCUCAAAUAAAUCCACGGAGAUGUAACCAGAUAAAUAUCGACAUAAAUCCUGCCAGUUUAAAAAAAAAACGUUGUACAGGAGGAAGAAUAACAAAAUUAAUUAAAUGUAACAAAUAUAAUAAAGAACAAAAAUAUAAAAAC